AAGACUGAAGUGGAGAAAGGUU
rnacentral:misc_RNA from 1 species